rnacentral:rRNA from 1 species
UACGGGGGGGGGCAAGCGUUGUUCGGAAUUACUGGGCGUAAAGGGCGCGUAGGCGGCCUACUAAGUCGGACGUGAAAUCCCUCGGCUCAACCGAGGAACUGCGUCCGAUACUGGCAGGCUGGAAUCCGGGAGAGGGAUGUGGAAUUCCAGGUGUAGCGGUGAAAUGCGUAGAUAUCUGGAGGAACACCGGUGGCGAAGGCGGCAUCCUGGACCGGUAUUGACGCUGAGGCGCGAAAGCUAGGGGAGCAAACGGGG